UUACGGGAGGCUGCAGUGGGGAAUAUUGGACAAUGGGCGAAAGCCUGAUCCAGCCAUGCCGCGUGUGUGAAGAAGGCCUUCGGGUUGUAAAGCACUUUCAGUGGGGAAGAAAGCCUUGGGGCUAAUACCCUCGAGGAAGGACAUCACCCACAGAAGAAGCACCGGCUAACUCCGUGCCAGCAGCCGCGGUAAUACGGAGGGUGCGAGCGUUAAUCGGAAUUACUGGGCGUAAAGCGCGCGUAGGCGGUCUGAUAAGCCGGUUGUGAAAGCCCCGGGCUCAACCUGGGAACGGCAUCCGGAACUGUCAGGAUAGAGUGCAGGAGAGGAAGGUAGAAUUCCCGGUGUAGCGGUGAAAUGCGUAGAGAUCGGGAGGAAUACCAGUGGCGAAGGCGGCCUUCUGGACUGACACUGACGCUGAGGUGCGAAAGCGUGGGUAGCAAACAGGAUUAGAUACCCGGGUAGUC
rnacentral:rRNA from 1 species